rnacentral:rRNA from 1 species
CCUACGGGUGGCAGCAGUGGGGAAUAUUGGACAAUGGGGGAAACCCUGAUCCAGCGACGCCGCGUGAGUGAAGAAGUAUUUCGGUACGUAAAGCUCUAUCAGCAGGAAAGAAAAUGACGGUACCUGACUAAGAAGCCCCGGCUAACUACGUGCCAGAAGCCGCGGUAAUACGUAGGGGGCAAGCGUUAUCAGGAUUUACUGGGUGUAAAGGGAGAGUAGACGGCAGCGCAAGUCUGGCGUGAAAUGCCGGGGCUCAACCCCGGAACUGCUCUGGAAACUGUGAAGCUGGAGUGCAGGAGAGGUAAGCGGAAUUCCUGGUGUAGCGGUGAAAUGCGUAGAUAUCAGGAGGAACACCAGCGGCGAAGGCGGCUUACUGGACUGUAACUGACGUUGAGGCGCGAAGGCGUGGGGAGCAAACAGGAUUAGAUACCCCAGUAGUC